UACAGAGGGGGCAAGCGUUGUUCGGAAUUACUGGGCGUAAAGGGCGCGUAGGCGCCUGUUAAGUCGAACGUGAAAUCCCCAGGCUCAACCUGGGAACUGCGUCCGAUACUGGCAGGCUUGAAUCCGGGAGAGGGAUGCGGAAUUCCAGGUGUAGCGGUGAAAUGCGUAGAAUAUCUGGAGGAACACCGGUGGCGGAAGGCGGCGAUCCCUGGGACCCGGG
rnacentral:rRNA from 1 species